rnacentral:rRNA from 1 species
GACGAACGCUGGCGGCGUGCUUAACACAUGCAAGUCGAACGGAAAGGCCCUGCUUUUGUGGGGUGCUCGAGUGGCGAAAGGGUGAGUAACACGUGAGUAACCUGCCCUUGACUUUGGGAUAACUUCAGGAAACUGGGGCUAAUACCGGAUAGGAGCUCCUGCUGCAUGGUGGGGGUUGGAAAGUUUCGGCGGUUGGGGAUGGACUCGCGGCUUAUCAGCUUGUUGGUGGGGUAGUGGCUUACCAAGGCUUUGACGGGUAGCCGGCCUGAGAGGGUGACCGGCCACAUUGGGACUGAGAUACGGCCCAGACUCCUACGGGAGGCAGCAGUGGGGAAUAUUGCGCAAUGGGCGGAAGCCUGAUGCAGCAACGCCGCGUGCGGGAUGACGGCCUUCGGGUUGUAAACCGCUUUCGCCUGUGACGAAGCGUGAGUGACGGUAAUGGGUAAAGAAGCACCGGCUAACUACGUG